rnacentral:lncRNA from 1 species
GUUUUGAAAUAAAGGACCGUCAUGCUCCUGCUACUGAAUAAGCUGUCCUCCUGUCCCUCCCAACCCCACCAAAGAAAAGAAGGAAACCAGAGACUGUAAAAAUUAGAGGAAGAAGAUUUAAGACCUGACUACAAAAAGAGAGGCUUAGGAUUGUAGUUUGGAGUUUCUUGUUAGAAGUAUGAUGUCUUUAGGUUCUGGAGUUGCCCAAGGGAUUCUUAUAUCCGCAUGGAAGAGAUAUUUUCACUGAUCACCACUACACAUGGGACUUUGGAAUUGUAUAAUUGUAGUUUACAUUUAUGAGAAUUUGGCAUUUGUUUUAUUCCUCAUCAUCUUUCCUUAUAUUUGAUUUUGUUUGUUGUUAGUUCAUGUUACAUAAACAAUAAUCCAGUGACAGCAAAGUAACUUUCUUGAAGUGAGCUGGUGUGUUGAUUUCGUAAGGAUGACUGCAAAAAUGUUCUUAAGCUAUAAUUAGAUCUUCUUUGUGUGAGCUAUGGUGAAGGGAUAUUUAAUUGAAACCACACUCUCAUUUAAGAAAGGCAUUUCUGUCUGUAAUAUGUUUAAAACCAUAAAAAAUCUUCUUUAUAUGCUAUAAAAUAAAAAUCUGGUUUAA